rnacentral:lncRNA from 1 species
UGCUUAGACCUGCUUUGGCUGUGCAGGACCUUUGGUAAUUACUGUCUUUUCUGUUUCUGCUAAGAAUGUUACUGGAGGGGCUGGUCAGAUGGCUCAGAGGUUAAGAGCACUGACUGCUCUUCCGAAGGUCCUGAGUUCAAAUCCCAGCAACCACAUGGUGGCUCACAACCAUCUGUAAUGAGAUCUGAUGCCCUCUUCUGGAGUGUCUGAAGACAGCUACAAUAAAUAAAUAAAUCUUUAAAAAAAAAAAAAAAGAAUGUUACUGGAAUUCUGAUGAUGGUCAUUAUAUCUGCGAGCCACAGUGCUAACUCAUGAGUAGGUCUGUGCAUUUUGUAGUGACUUCAAGUAGAUGUCUCCUCACCUCUCUGCUCGAGUUCCCAGGGCUUCACUCCCCUGGCACUUUGGGAGUGGGAGGAGAGCAUCAUGACUAGGGUUUUCUUCUCAGAGGAAUCAUUGUUGGUCUAUAGAAAACCAUCACUGGCCAGGCCAGCCUGCUCUACAUGGUGAGAUGGGGGUUUUUGUUUUGGUUUUUCCCUUCCCUUAUGGCUUUAAGAAUUUAAACACCAUAUCC